GCGGGCGUAGCUCAGCCGGUAGAGCGUCAGCUUCCCAAGCUGAAUGUCGGGAGUUCGAACCUCCUCGCCCGCUCCA
rnacentral:tRNA from 1 species